rnacentral:rRNA from 1 species
AUGGCGCGAGAUGCUGGACUCCCACGCGUGGACAAUGAACUUGAUACGAAGUGCUGCAAAAUUGUCACCAUCCAACAAGUCGAUUCGUCUGCUUUCUCAACGUGGAUUGGGCAGAUGGAGGAUUGUGAAAUGCCGAGUCCGACGCCGUCACGGAUGGGCGUAAAAUUGCCCUGCCAAAACGAAGCUCACAUGAGUAGUGUCCGCAUAUCCAUGGUCCGCGAGCAACUCCGCCGCGUCAUCGACGAAGAUAGCUACGCGCCGCACUACGUGCCAAUAGGCCCUUACCACCGCAGUCGCUCGUCUCCAUGGAUCGAGAAAACGAAGAAGCGCUCUGCCGGCUUCCUGCAAAGCCUGUCCGAGGAACAUACGGAAGGUGGCCUCACGGGCGUGAUGGAGAAGCUGGAACCCCUCGCAAGGGAGCUCUACACCUCCGGCGGCGGGCUCGGCGACAUGACGCCGGAGCAGUCGUCGAGCAUGCUGCUGCACGACGCGUGCUAUCUGCUCCUCUUCUUCGUCGACUACAUGUCCGGCAACCGCGCUCCUCCAGCUCCAGCUGAUGAUGAUGAACAUCCGGUCAGCCGCAACACCUUGGUACGCGACGCCGUCUUCCUCCGCGAGAACCAGAUCCCUUUCUUCCUCCUCCAGGGUAUCCACGAGCGUGUCACGGGAGGCACCACCUCCGUCCUCGACUACAUAGCCAUGCCCAUCCAGGAGCUGCUGCAGCAGCAGCUCUUCAUCAGCAGGAAGCCCCGGCCGCCGCCACCGACGUGUUCUCACCUGCUGCACCUCGUGCACGCCUACUUCCGUCCCACGCUGCAGCCGACCAAGAGCGCGGCCAUGUGCGGCACGGUGGUGACGGGCCGGUGGCGCCGGGCGGCGGAGUACAGCAGGUACGCCAACGUUCGGCUCAUGCGCCGGGACUUCCAGGACGGCGUGGAGUCCUCUGUCCUGGACGUGCAGCUUGAAGGAGGCACGCUGUGGAUCCCUCGCCUGCGUGUGGACAGCAACACGUGGACGAUCCUUCGCAACCUGAUGGCGCUGGAGGAGCAGGCGCACCGGAGGCCGGUCACGGCGUACUGCCUCUUCAUGUCGCAGCUGGCCUGCACGGCGGAGGACGUCCAGCUCCUGCGGCGGGCAGGGAUCGUCGACCACUUCCUGGGCAACGACGAGCAGGUCUCUAAAGGCUUGGCUGGUCUCUGCAACGGGGUGGUCAUCGACAUCGACGACCUGGACAGGAACUACCUCAAGCCCAUGUGGCACCAGCUAGAGAACCGCUUCUACAGCCGUGCGGAACGAUUCAUAGGGGGGUUCCGCCACGGCCAGAGCUGGGAGAUCACUGCGGCGUUCCUCAUGGCUCUCAUCGUCAUCGCCUGUCAAGCGAUGCAAACGUUCUAUGCAGUUGCUCGCGGUGGACACUAA